rnacentral:rRNA from 1 species
GAUGAACGCUGGCGGCGUGCCUAAUACAUGCAAGUCGAGCGAACAGACGAGGAGCUUGCUCCUCUGACGUUAGCGGCGGACGGGUGAGUAACACGUGGAUAACCUACCUAUAAGACUGGGAUAACUUCGGGAAACCGGAGCUAAUACCGGAUAAUAUAUUGAACCGCAUGGUUCAAUAGUGAAAGACGGUUUUGCUGUCACUUAUAGAUGGAUCCGCGCCGCAUUAGCUAGUUGGUAAGGUAACGGCUUACCAAGGCAACGAUGCGUAGCCGACCUGAGGGGGUGAUCGGCCACACUGGAACUGAGACACGGUCCAGACUCCUACGGGAGGCAGCAGUAGGGAAUCUUCCGCAAUGGGCGAAGCCUGACGGAGCAACGCCGCGUGAGUGAUGAAGGUCUUCGGAUCGUAAAACCCUGUUAUUAGGGAAGAACAAAUGUGUAAGUAACUAUGCACGUCUUGACGGUACCUAAUCAGAAAGCCACGGCUAACUACGUG